rnacentral:lncRNA from 1 species
AGAAACAGACUCCAUACACAUACAGAAUCUAGCAUUUAUUCAGUCUUACUUCGUUAAAUGUGUUGAUAUGAUUGUUAAUCUCAGUUUUGUAAUGUCUUUCUACAGUUAAAUGAACUGAAGAAGGGGAUGGAGAAAGAGAUUGACAAUAUUGAGGCAAUGCGUAGGAAGGAGCUCCUUGCAGCAGAGGAGACAAUGGAACAACAAAAGCAGGAGCAGAGAGAGAUGGGGAUGAGACAUGAUGCUCUGAUGUCCCAGAAGAUGGCCGCAGCAGCAAAGCCCACCGCUGUGGAGGACAAGACGGAAAGCACGAAGCCCCCCAGCACGCUGGAGAAAAUGGAGAAGCUUGUGGCAGAGCAGAAGACAGAAAUUAAACGGUACUGUUUUAUAUACGUACGUGUUGUGAUGACACACCUGUUGAAACGGCUCAUACACACAACAUCUUUCUUGCAUCAUUGUCUCAGCUGCUCAUGUGAUGUAUUCCACCAGCGGAAAACAGCAUGUGUUUUGAAUACUAUGCUCACACUAAUGCAGUUCAGUGUUAAUGUUGCUUUCUCUCCUUCACCAAAGGCUCAAGAAAGAUCUGCGUAUUACCAUUGCAACAUGGGAGAAGAAAUUUGAAAUUCUAACAAAGAGGUGUUAUUUUAUUCUUCUACAGAUAAUUGGGUUUUUAUUGCACGGCCUCUCAUUUGUGAUAACAAUCAGAUUGUGUAUAGACAAUCAAUUUUGGAUCAUUACAAGAUGUUUAAUACAGUGGGCAUUCAUUUAAUUGAUGGGCAGGAAGCAUUGAGCAAAGUCCGUCACACAUGAACUGAAGCUAUUGUGUGACGUGUGGGAAGAUUGUGCUGACCCACCCAUGUUUGUGGUUAGGAUCUUUCUCAUAAAAAAAGAUCUUUAAAUUAGCUAAAUGAUUUUGCCAAGUUAUUAAAUUAGCUUUAGUUCAUGCACAGUGGAGGCUGGCCCAUUGCCAGUUGCCUGGAAUAAGGGCCCUAUAUGUGAAAUACCAUGUUGUUCUUCAGUUUCCAUGCCAUCAAGGAUGAGAUGUUCUUGCGCAACAACUUCCAGAGACAAUCCGCUGCCUUACACUUCGCCUCGGUUUCCUAUACGGUACGUUGAGCGGAUAUUUACAUUUAGAUUUACAUUUGGUAAUUUACCAGACGAUUUUGUAAUAGAGCAAUAGAGACCUAGUGUAACAAUAAAUACUAUUUUACAUAAGAAAUAGAAAAAGAA